AGUUUCUAGACUGUCAAACUUAUGAACAGAGGUCCUACAAAUAUCCACAGACAGGUCUUGAUGUGAAUGUUGGGUUAUUCCUUUCUUUGGGAAAAACCCAUCUGGAAGGGACAGAAGAUAUCUUACACAACAGAGCACAAAAACCGUAUGAUUUGAUGUUUACUGAGUAAAUAAGAGGGCUGUUAACACCUUUACCAGCAAAUGCAGAACUCGAGAACUCAGAAGACAAUUGGCUGAUACACUAACUCCAUAAAGCUCAGAAAGAUGUCUGGAAAUGCCUCAGAUCAGCCUUCUGGCUUUCCCAACAUCCUCACUGACUCGCAUGUUUAGCUUGGCAUCUUGGAAACACUUCGGGGGUAUGCCAUGUUAGAAGAAACCUUCAGCUAACAGAGUAUGGCUUGGCUUCCUCCCUGCUCGUCCACUGACUUGCUAGUAUGGACAAACCUUUAAACCUUCCUGGGUCAAGGUCUUCUUAUCUGGAAAACAAAGAUGAGGAAACUGACAUCCUCAGGAUUUACCAGACUUGCUCAACAUCACAAGAUAGAGACUCUCAACUUCCAGGACCUAAUGUGGGCAGGGUGAGGGAAGCAGUUUCAGCUGCACCUUGCAGUUCAAAAUCCAAGUCCCUUUGGAGGCCCAUCCAGUGCAACGAGGCACCCAGGAUCUAAUGCAUCCAAAGCUGACCUCAACAUCAUUCUGUAGCCAAUGACAUUUUGAAUAUCAGAUUCUCCUUUCUCCACCUCUCCAGCACUGUGAAUACAGAGCCAUCUAUUAAAUGGCACGAUAUGCUGGAAACAAACUCCAAGCAGGACCGGGAGAUUCACAAUCAGCUCACUAGAGAAGCCAUAGAAGAAACCGAGCCCAUCACCCUGGAGAAAACAAGACCCGGAGUGGAGUGAUUCCAUCCAUGUUGGGAUGAGCACUGAGCAGAUACCGUGUGGUCGGAGAAGAAAAGCUCCUACGAACACCCCCAGAGGUGUGCUGUCUAGGAGGCUCCAAAUCCAGGGUAGCAGAUGAUGAAGAUCGUCACACCUCCAGUCCCAGGUAUGGCCUUCACCCUGCACAUCUCUUGUACAGCCUGCAUCUGUCUGCUUCUUUCUCCUGACCUACACCAACGAAUGCACACCCAGCCCCUUGUGGGUGCCCCUGCCCUUGUAUCCAGCCUCCUCCAUCCCUGCUUCCCCAUGUUCCCCUGCCCUGCUCCACACUUGCAGGAUGCCCCAUGGCUGGAGGCUCCGGACACUCUGGGCACACCCCCUAGUGGGCCCACAGGUGCUGAUUUCAACCCUUGUGUUCUCCAUCUCUCUGUCACUGCCCAUAGCCUACCCCGGCUUCAAGCACACACUUGUUCACCUCGAGUAAGAUCAAAAAUAAACUCUCUGGAAGCUGUUCAAAGGC